AAACCUGAGAGUUUGAUCCUGGCUCAGAACGAACGCUGGCGGCAGGCCUAACACAUGCAAGUCGAACGCACCGCAAGGUGAGUGGCGCACGGGUGAGUAACACGUGGGAAUGUACCCUUUGGUUCGGAAUAACGUUUGGAAACGAACGCUAAUACCGGAUGAGCCCUACGGGGGAAAGAUUUAUCGCCAAAGGAGCAGCCCGCGUCUGAUUAGCUAGUUGGUGGGGUAAAGGCCUACCAAGGCGACGAUCAGUAGCUGG
rnacentral:rRNA from 1 species